GGAUAGUAUUGCUUUGCUAUCUUCGACUAAAAAUAUAAUGACACGUGGAAAAGAUAUUUUACGUGUCAUUACGUUAUUAGUUGGAAAUAACAAAAAAAUAUUAUCC
rnacentral:pre_miRNA from 1 species